GUGAAUACGUUCCCGGGCCUUGUACACACCGCCCGUCACACCAUGGGAGUGGGUUGCAAAAGAAGUAGGUAGCUUAACCUUCGGGAGGGCGCUUACCACUUUGUGAUUCAUGACUGGGGGGAAGUCGUAACAAGGUAACCGUAGGGGAACCUGCGGUUGGAUCACCUCCUUACCUUAAAGAA
rnacentral:rRNA from 1 species